GAGAAUACAGGGAUGAACACAGACUCAUUCAUUAAUCCAUUAAGCAUGUGGAUGGUCAGUUAUUCCUUCAUUCUUUAAGUCAACAAACCUUACUGGGCACUAACUAAGGUUGGAGUAUCAUUCUCGGCAGGCACCCAAGAUACAAAGGGAAACAAGGCCCUGCUGAGGCUGACUGUUUAGAACACGGAAUCUGGGGCAAGGUCUAACACCAUCUCAGAGUGUGAAGAAAAAGGGAACUGCGGAGGAGAAGAAGGGAAAAUACAGCUACUCUCCUCUUGGAGUUUUUCCUAAAGAUGAAGACUUAUCCUGUGAUCAGAUUUCAACCAAGAUGUCUGACUUUGAGAAUCCAGUGAUGUUCACCUUUAAAAUGGGAGAGCUGACUAGUGACCCAAAGAAAUGAAUGAUGGCAAAGGCCCCAUUGCUGAUAUCCAGAGAAAUGAUGAGAUCUGCCCGGUAUCUGACGGGUUUUCAGAGAGUCUGCACCUUUCAAGAACAUUCUCAGGAAGGGACUUCUAGAUUCAACCUGGAUGGGGAAACAGAAGACUGGACUUUUACCCUUGGCUCUGUGGUUUCAUAGCUCUCUUAUUUGAAGUAAGUUGUGGAAGUUCUCUGACCCUCUGUUUCUUCUAUCUGUAAAAUGGAGUCAAUGGUGUCCCCCAUGCGUACAGCACAACUUAGAGAUAGCUAGUUAUUACAUCCAGAGACCCUUUUGUCUUUCCUUCUGUGGAUUCCGAAGUAAUGUGAUUGCCAAAAGCCUGACAUAUAUAAGCAGGAGGUAAAUAUAUGUGUGAGAUGCAAUGUUUAUUUAUGCAUUCUAUAUACAUAUGUAUAUUCCGAC
rnacentral:lncRNA from 1 species